UUUAGCCUAAAUAGCACAGCCUAGCCCUCCAACAGACUAAAAGAUACUCGACCGGGGUACAGCCCUGUCGAAUAAGGAUACAACCUAAGCCAGCGGGUCAGAACUAAUCACUUUUCCCUAUAGGCCUUAAAGCCGCCAUCAAUAAAUAAAGCGUCACAGCACAACACUAUAGAUACUAACAGUUCUAUCAAACCCCUAGCAAGCCACUGAGCCAUACUAUAUUAAUAGUAGCACCAAUGCUAAAACUAGUAACAAGAAGACUUCUCUACGCACCCUCGUGCCCCAGUAACAGAAAGACUACUGGAUAUUACCAGACCCUACAAACAGGGACACAAGCCUGUCAUACCAACACAGGAGCGCCCAAAAGAAGGUUAAAAACCACAUAAGGAACUCGGCAACCCCUGUUCCAACUGUUUACCAAAAACAUAGCCUUUAGCCAAACAAGUAUUAAAGGUGCUGCCUGCCCAGUGAAAUCUUAAACGGCCGCGGUAUCCUAACCGUGCAAAGGUAGCGUAAUCACUUGUCUUUUAAAUAAAGACUCGUAUGAACGGCUAAAUGAGAACAGCCCUGUCUCUUGUGGUCAACCAGUGAAACUGAUCUUUAAGUACAAAAGCUUAAAUAAACCCAUAAGACGAGAAGACCCGUGGAGCUUAAAACCAACACUAUUAACUAACUAAAAUAGCACAGGUUUUAAGUUGGGGCGACUUCGGAACAAAACUAAACUUCCGAACACGGGAGCCAAAACCUCUCCCCUAGACUAACAAGUCAAAGGAGACACCGACCCAGUCCACACUGAACAAUGAACCAAGUUACCCCAGGAUAACAGCGCCAUCUUCUUCAAGAGUUCCUAUCGACAAGAAGGUUUACGACCUCGAUGUUGGAUCAGGACACCCAAAUGGUGCAACAGCUAUUAAAGGUUCGUUUGUU
rnacentral:rRNA from 1 species